AAGUCGUAACAAGGUUUCCGUAGGUGAACCUGCGGAAGGAUCAUUACUGAAUAAAAGGUUUGGUUUGAGGCUGUUGCUGGCAUCCUAGGAUGCAUUUGCACGCCCCUCGCCAUUCCAUCAUUCACCUUUUUCCACCUGUGCACUCUCAUGUAGGCCGGGUAGCCGCCAGUAAGCGAUCUCCUCAGAGAGAUGGAUGCUUCUUUGGACUUGCUGUUGCAGCCCCACAUUUGCAACAGCUCCUCCUGAAGUUGGCACAUCCGGUCUAUGCAUUUUAUCAAACCCUCCUCUCUUAUUUUUGUCUCUGAUACUGUAUGGGCUUAUCAAAGCAUGUAUGUACAACUUUCAACAACGGAUCUCUUGGCUCUC
rnacentral:misc_RNA from 1 species